rnacentral:rRNA from 1 species
GCGGCGAACGGGUGAGUAACACGUGAGCAACCUGCCCCUGACUCUGGGAUAAGCGGUGGAAACGCCGUCUAAUACCGGAUACGACCUUCCGCCUCAUGGUGGAGGGUGGAAAGUUUUUUCGGUCAGGGAUGGGCUCGCGGCCUAUCAGCUUGUUGGUGGGGUAACGGCCUACCAAGGCGAUUACGGGUAGCCGGCCUGAGAGGGCGACCGGCCACACUGGGACUGAGACACGGCCCAGACUCCUGCGGGAGGCAGCAGUGGGGAAUAUUGCGCAAUGGGCGAAAGCCUGACGCAGCGACGCCGCGUGGGGGAUGACGGCCUUCGGGUUGUAAACCUCUUUUACCACCAACGCAGGCUCCGGGUUCUCUCGGGGUUGACGGUAGGUGGGGAAUAAGGACCGGCUAACUACGUGCCAGCAGCCGCGGUAAUACGUAGGGUCCGAGCGUUGUCCGGAAUUAUUGGGCGUAAAGAGCUCGUAGGCGGCGUGUCGCGUCUGCUGUGAAAGACCGGGGCUUAACUCCGGUUCUGCAGUGGAUACGGGCAUG